AGAGUUUGAUCCUGGCUCAGGACGAACGCUGGCGGCGUGCGUAAUACAUGCUAAGUCGAGCGAGCUUGCCCUAGAUGAUUUUAGUGCUUGCACUAAAUGAAACUAGAUACAAGCGAGCGGCGGACGGGUGAGUAACACGUGGGUAACCUGCCCAAGAGACUGGGAUAACACCUGGAAACAGAUGCUAAUACCGGAUAACAACACUAGACGCAUGUCUAGAGUUUGAAAGAUGGUUCUGCUAUCACUCUUGGAUGGACCUGCGGUGCAUUAGCUAGUUGGUAAGGUAACGGCUUACCAAGGCAAUGAUGCAUAGCCGAGUUGAGAGACUGAUCGGCCACAUUGGGACUGAGACACGGCCCAAACUCCUACGGGAGGCAGCAGUAGGGAAUCUUCCACAAUGGACGAAAGUCUGAUGGAGCAACGCCGCGUGAGUGAAGAAGGGUUUCGGCUCGUAAAGCUCUGUUGGUAGUGAAGAAAGAUAGAGGUAGUAACUGGCUCUUUAUUUGACGGUAAUUACUUAGAAAGUCACGGCUAACUACGUGCCAGCAGCCGCGGUAAUACGUAGGUGGCAAGCGUUGUCCGGAUUUAUUGGGCGUAAAGCGAGUGCAGGCGGUUCAAUAAGUCUGAUGUGAAAGCCUUCGGCUCAACCGGAGAAUUGCAUCAGAAACUGUUGAACUUGAGUGCAGAAGAGGAGAGUGGAACUCCAUGUGUAGCGGUGGAAUGCGUAGAUAUAUGGAAGAACACCAGUGGCGAAGGCGGCUCUCUGGUCUGCAACUGACGCUGAGGCUCGAAAGCAUGGGUAGCGAACAGGAUUAGAUACCCUGGUAGUCCAUGCCGUAAACGAUGAGUGCUAAGUGUUGGGAGGUUUCCGCCUCUCAGUGCUGCAGCU
rnacentral:rRNA from 1 species